rnacentral:rRNA from 1 species
CGUACACUCCUACGGGAGGCAGCAGUGGGGAAUAUUGGACAAUGGGCGCAAGCCUGAUCCAGCCAUGCCGCGUGAGUGAUGAAGGCCCUAGGGUUGUAAAGCUCUUUCACCGGUGAAGAUAAUGACGGUAACCGGAGAAGAAGCCCCGGCUAACUUCGUGCCAGCAGCCGCGGUAAUACGAAGGGGGCUAGCGUUGUUCGGAUUUACUGGGCGUAAAGCGCACGUAGGCGGACUAUUAAGUCAGGGGUGAAAUCCCGGGGCUCAACCCCGGAACUGCCUUUGAUACUGGUAGUCUUUAGUUCGAGAGAGGUGAGUGGAAUUCCGAGUGUAGAGGUGAAAUUCGUAGAUAUUCGGAGGAACACCAGUGGCGAAGGCGGCUCACUGGCUCGAUACUGACGCUGAGGUGCGAAAGCGUGGGGAGCAAACAGGAUUAGAUACCCGGGUAGUCCCA